GAGGGUGUCGCUCAAGCGGUAGAGCGCGUGCCUAGCAUGCACAAGGUCCUGGGUUCAAUUCCCGGUACCUCCU
rnacentral:tRNA from 1 species